rnacentral:lncRNA from 1 species
AGGAGAUCACCUAAUGCACUCAACCGCAUAUUACGCAAGGUCGGUCACCUCGGUGUUGUCUAUCAACAAAUUCAUUUUUGGUUGCAGGUUGGGGCUGACGAUUCACGUAUAAAAUCGCAGGGCUAGGAGUGGCAGUCAGUGCUGCAGCAGAUCCCUGAGGACAGUUUUCUUGUUUAUGCCCCGUCUGACCACAACCGAAGCAGUGAUUAUGAUAGCGGGAACAGUGAGUAGUCAAAUGCUUCCUAUCGCAGAUCUUGCAAUGCUUAACAUAAGGCAAUAGACUUGCUGAAGCACUCGUAAUAGAUGAUUGAGUCUGAGGAUGCUUGGGUGGCUUUGAGUUGCUCGAUGAUCCACCCUCUAAAUUCGACUGAGGCCGCUUUCCGAAUGCAUUUUUACUCGAACUCCCUUUCUGAAUAGAGUCCACCCGUUCAUCCAAGGGCUUUGACGAGUUACAAAUUUUAAAUUCCGCCAAGCUCCCUCUCACGUGGGCUUCCUCCAUGGCCAGAGAGUCAACGCCCUCGGCAGAAACAGUGGACGUCGUCGUGUUGGGUAUAACGCGAGCAGCACCCGUGGAUCUAGGGCCACCCGUCACUGGCAUAACCCCAGUGACCACCGCUGUUGUCGUAGGAACGAUUGCCGUGGCACCCAGAAAUGACACUCUAAUGGCUUGAUCACCCGAAGGUCCACUAACCGCCUCGCAGACCACAUCAGCAACAUUACUCGCAGCUAUACCUGUGUCCGGCCCGACGGCGGAGCCUGUUCAACUCCAGCUGCAGCCUGCUGCUGCACCACCUGUUGGACUAAAUCGGCUAGUGCGGUCAACUGCUCCUCCAACCGUCGGAGGCCGUGCACAACAGCAAAAGCCUCGGCAUUAGCGCGUCGUCUCUCUCUACUGCGUGCCAUGUACUAAAAUUGUCACGUCCCGUUAUUGCCAAUUUGGUCGAUCCGGGCCCGUACACAGACGCCGAACGAACAGCACCUCCUCUGUUCGCCCAAGGCUCAACAACAACGAAUACAUGUAUAAAGAAAUUAAACAAUUCCCAGGAUCACAUUUCAAUAUACAUGGCUUGCACGAAGGCAAGCAACAAACACAAGUGAUAGUAAACUAACUGUACAAUGAAAUUCACUGUAACUUAAAACUUUACAUAACUAAAACAUUUAGUUAUUACAUGCCUUAUAUAUACAUUCAUUUACAUGUCUCUGUACAUCGAAAUAGAUGAUACAUGAACCCAAAUGGUAUACCACUAGUACUCGGGUGUCCACUAGCUAGGCUGCUGGCUCUUGCCUCGAUUCUCGGCCACAAUACUCGCACUGGAACCUGUAUGGUUAGUGGUGUGAGAACUACAAGAAAGUUCCCAGUGGGUUCGGCCGCCGACCUCGCCGACUCACCCUCUAGGUCUACUCAGGCAUAUGUAGACAAGAAAAGUAAACAGAUAGUAACCAACUAUAACAUGUAACUACUACAAUGCCUGCACAAAGCUGAAAGAAGUAACAGAUAUAAAAACUGUAAAUAUGCAUGCAUGCUUUUCAUUAACUUUACCCAAUCUUUUGGUUAACCCUCUGGUUAACAGCUGGACAAGUACGUUAGUCCUGGGGCAAGUACGUUAGCCCAUAAAUUUACCCAAUUCAGUGGUUAACCCUUUGGUUAACAAUAACUCACCAACGAAAUCCCUCACGGGCCCUAAGCUGCCUCCCGAUGGGACCGUCUGUCGGACAAGUACGUUAGUCCUGGGGCAGGUACGUUAGCCCAACAAGUGACUACUCCGGAGCUCACUGCCUGGGGGGAGCGACCACCACCAAGCUAAGAAAACAGACUAUGUGAGUAAGAUCUGAUCCCUCUUUAGAGGAUUCAACUGACAACAAUGUCACAAUUCAACUCUAACUAGUUCUUUAUGCUAGUUUCACAAUUUUAUUGCUCGAUGCUAACCAAAUCUCUAGUUAGAAUGUCACCAAGUUCACUAUUGUUCUAGUCCAUGCAUUCAUAGGGUUCUAUGUCCACAUUCUAAGGUUCACAAGUUCUCAUUGUUGAUAGGAAUUUACAUUUUCACUUGCACAAUGCCGAACACCCUAUAAUGCAUGACUACAAAUAUAAAUAUGCUUAACGAAUAAUCAUAGACAUAAAAGGUGAUUCAAAGACUUCGGAUAGCACCACCCACCUUUCUUUGAUGCCGGAAUGGGAGAAAUGCGCUUCUAGCGCUUUCCCGAGAAUCGCGACCCGCGCUCGCGACUUUCGACGCCGAAAAUCUUCUUUUGGCGAUAUCUUCGCGUAGGAGCGUCGGAUUGCCGAACCGACUUCGCCAGCGCGUUUCUUUUAUCCCCAAUUACGUUUACACGCGGUCAAUUUCACUUUAGGGCUUCUAUCCUGCAAAAGUGCAUUGUCGAGUCAGUUUCUCAAAAAACCCCGAUUUCAAUGCAAUUUUACAUGUAAAUAGCGUAUUUCAACUCUUUCUUCGUCCAAGGAUCUCAGAUCAGUUAUUAAAAACUGUACAAAUGCUUCGAUUCCACUUUUCUCUCCAUUCUAUUAUCUUUCUUUCAUUUUCUCUUCUUUUCUUACUUUCUUUCUUUCUUACUUGCUUUCUUUCUUACUUAUCUUUCUUUCUUUUCAUUCUUUCUUUCUUCCUUACUUGCUUUCUUUCUUACUUAUCUUUCUUUCUUUUCAUUCUUUCUUUCUUCCUUACUUGCUUUCUUUCUUACUUAUCUUUCUUUCUUUUCAUUCUUUCUUUCUUCCUUACUUGCUUUCUUUCUUACUUAUCUUUCUUUCUUUUCAUUCUUUCUUUCUUCCUUUCUUUCUUUUCUUUCCCUGCAGGCUGCAGCAGCAGCUAUUACUGCUGCUGCUGAGCUGCUUGACAGCAGCCUGCGCAGGCUGCUGACAGCAGCAGCUUGCGAAGCUGCUGCUGCUCCUGCAGCUGCCUUUGCUGCUGCUGAGCUGCUGCUCAGCAGCUCAUGUUGCUGCUGCUGUUGCUAGCUGCUCCUGCCUCUGCUGCUGAUGCUUCUACUGCAGCUGCUGUUGCUAGCUGCUGCUGCUGUACUGCUCUGCUGCUGAAGCUGAUGCUCUAGCUUGCAGCAGCAGCAAAGAUUGUUGCUGCUGCUGCUGCUUUCAGCAGCAGGGAAAAGAAGUAAAGGGGAAAACCAUAACAAAGAGAGAGAGAGGGAAUAAACAGCACCUUUCUCUUUUUCUUUUUCUUCCUCUUCUUCUCUGUUUCUUCUUCUUUUCUCCUUCUUUUCUCCUUCUCUCUCUCUCAUGCGUAUGCUGCUGGGCUGAAGAGAGGAUAAGGAUAGGGCUCUGGCAGCAGGUAAGUUAGUGGAAUUCCACUAAGUCAAGUGCAAUUACCAAAUUGCCCUUGACUUAAUCCGUUUAGCGACCUUGAAUCAAAUACCUUUCGUAAGUCCUUCCGACAGUCCGAUUGAGCUCAAAUUUGGCAGGAAUGUUCGUUUUUACUUAACAAAUCCACUGAAAUUUUAACAUUUCAGUUUCGACCCCGUUUGGUCACUACGAACUGUCCCGAACUGUAAUCUUUAUCAGAUAACUUCCUUAUGCAAUUUCUCUCUCUACAGGUGUCAGAAAAAUCUGAAACUUNUUAAGGGAGUUGGUAGAGUCAAAUCUUCUUCAUCUUGAAUAUAUUUCUACUGAAAACCAGCUUGCUGAUAUUUUGACAACACCUUUAGAUCAUAAACGUUUUCUGCAUUUGCGAAAAGCUAUUGGUAUGAAUCCAUCUUUUUAGAUGUAGUCUAUGGGCCAUAGAUCUUGUACAUCCUUUUUGCACAUCUGUCGUUUUUACUUGAUGAUUUUUGAGAUAUCUAUGACAUGAUUUUCAUUGUUUUAUAAUGUGGCUAGCUUGGUCAAACUUUGCAAAAUUCAACAUCUCUUUGCAUGAACUUUAAAAAUUGUCUUUGUCUUGUCAGAUUAUGAGCUUUGAUAUGAAUACAGAUUUUCCUAUUUUUGAACUUGUGAUAACAUCAUCAACUUGAGGGUUGCACUUAUUGAGGGGGAGUUUUUUUCUUGGAAUUAAAUUAGUAUGUCAAAAGAUGUGGAAAGAGUUACAUCCCUCAUGGGAGUGUAAAAACUACCACCACAUGGAGGAAAGAGCUACCAUUCCGGUCGUCCGGUACGUGUGUGCAGCUACCACAUGUUUGUUUAAAGCAUCGCAAUUGAUAAAGAAGCCAACAAUGUCUGGUGAUAUAUAUAUAUAUAUAUAAUACAAAAUUUAAGAAGGUACUUUGGAGAUGAUAAAGCAUGAGUUACUUUCAAUAAAUCUCCUAGGUGAUAUAAGGUGGAUAGUGAAAAGAUGCUCAAAGAGCCACUUCCUUUUCGAAUUUUGUGCAUAACUCAAUUUGAUCAUCUUAUCUUAAUUUCAUAAUUAUGGGAUCUUGUUAUUCCUCUAUUUAGCAACUAUGAAGACUAUUCGAGACGAUUUAUUUUUAGAUCUUGCUUGAUGUGUGGAUUUUGGCAGUAUACUUACUUAGAAUUUAUUUCGUCUAUUUGUUCAACGAAUUUUGACAUUUUGAAUAUUUUGAAAUUGAUUUUGUUUGCCAUAUUUAUAAAAUUUUAUUGUAUGUCAUUGGCAUAUAUCAUUUUUUUUUAAAAAAAAGAAGGGGAGGAAAUUUUUUUGGUACGGGGACCGGUCCCCUGUCUUGAAGGACCGGUCCCUCCGCCCGAUCCUUUAUAACCCCUUCGGUCCGGUCUCUCUCUUACUUUACCUUUCUCUUUCUAAGUCUUCUCCCACGAAAUUCCUAGAUCCCCAGAGGGAUUUUGCUUUGCUGAUUGCUGGUUUUCUUUACUUUGAUUGGUAAGUUUUCGAUUUAGGGCUAAUUUAUCCUUACCUAUUCCAAGAAUAUGAUUGGUUAGGAGUUGAUCUGAAAUUUUGUUGGGAUUUUUUGUUUCUUAACAUUAAUCUCUGGUAUAUUCUUGUGAUUCUCGAGUUUUUCAUGGAUUACUUCAUUUUUUUUUAUGCAUGUUUUUGGUUUUUUUUUUCAAUGUGGCCCUAGCUUUUCCAGUUUUCUUUGUUGUUUUUCUAAAAAUCUGAAUGGUAUCUGUGUUUUGAUUACAACAGGGAUCUUUUUCGAAAACCAAAAAUGUAUUCACUUUUGAUUGUGCUUGUGUUUCUCAUGGCUGGUGGUGGUCGUGGUGGUAAGCGCCAGCGUACUUCGACUCAGCAACAUGUCGAGCCACCGGUUGAGGAUGUCGGCAGUGAAUAUGCUCCUGAUGACGAUUCAGAAACUGAGUCGACGGAUUGGGAAACACUUUCUCCAGAAGUGGUGUUGACAAAGAAAAAAGGGAAGGAAAAGGUAGUUGCUGAACAGGAAAAAGGGCAGGGCAAAGCCAAAGGGAAAGGACCGGAAAAAUUGACAUACUCUCGUAGUAAGAAGAAGACCGGAGGUAUUGCAAUUCGCGAACCUACUGCUGAUCUACCUCGUCGAAGUACUCAGGAAGGCAAUGUUGAUCCAAAGAGACACUCUAUGUACUAUUCGAAGACUUGUAUUGGUGAGCGCCACGUUGGAGUUCAGAACUUAAUUGAACGAGUUCCUGGUCUUCAAGCCUUGUUUCAGAACGGAGGUCUUUAUGAAAUUAGCGAUUUUCCCGAACAAACUGGAUAUUGUUUGAAAUUAAUUCGGGAAUUCUAUAUGCGAGCGGGAUAUUUGGAAGAUUCCGAUGGUGGACCAUUCAUCUUUAAGACCAAAGUGCGUGGCAUUGAGUUGACAAUUACGCCUGAAACUAUUGCUUCUGUUCUUGGUAUGCAAGCUCGGACUGAUGGCGUUGAAUACUUGCAUGCUGGUUUUGAUGCGGUGCGAGACUGGCGUCUAGUUAUGAAUGGCGUAUGUUUGCCCAACGUUGAACCAAACGGCAUUUGUGUCAUGUCAAAGGAAUUGAAAAUCGAGUAUCGUUUCCUGAACUUUGUGGUCUGCUACAAUAUAAUGCCGUUGGCUAACACGAAGGUGGUGCGUUGGGAUCGCAUGCUUUAUAUGUAUUUGGUGGGUAAGCCGAAUGUGGUUCGUGAUAGAAAGAUCAAUCUUAAUGUUCCAUUUUUGGUAUGGCGCCGUAUGGCUAAAGAUAUUAAGACUUCUAAUCAGUCAGAAAGGUUGCCUUAUCCAUUGAUCAUUAUGAGGAUUCUGAGGAUGUUUGAUGUGGACACGCGAUGUUCGUCAUAUGAGCAUAGUCUGGGUGUGAUUAGUGAAACUACUUUCAUUAAGUCUUCGGUGCAACUUCAGUCUCAGCGCUCUCCUCCACGACGUUCGUCUCAACAGCGUUCAACUCCACCUCCUGGUUCUUCUCGUCCUUCGGCAGAGGUGUCUGAGGAAGAAAUGUCCGUCUCUUCUGUUUAUCGAGAACAACAAAGGUUAUCUUUAGAGCAAGAACGCAAUUCGGGCGAACUUCGACGGAUUUCUGAGGAUCAGGCUCGCAUGGUUGCCGAGCAGGAGCGCCUUACUCGGCAAGUGGGCAAGCUUCGUCGUAUGAUGCGCGCUAUCUUUGACAAACUAGGGUGUUGUAGCGCGGAUCUUCCUGCGCCUGGUGCUGAUUCCGACUAAGUUCUUUUCGUUCCCUCGUUUUGGUCGUUUUGGCGUUUUCUUGACAAAAAGGGGGAGGAUGAUGAUGAUGAUGAUACUUGAUGCCUUGAUGCUUAGGAUGCUUGAUGCCUUGAUGCUUAGGAUUAUGCUUGCUUGCAUGUGUGCUUGAACUUUGUGAACUAUGCUUGAACUUUGUUUAGGAUGUAACUAUGCUUGCUUGAACUCUUGACUAUGCUUGCUUGCUUGCAUGUGUGCUUGAACUUUGUGAACUAUGCUUGAACUUUGUUUAGGAUGUAACUAUGCUUGCUUGAACUCUUGACUAUGCUUGCUUGAACUGACUUAUACCAAAUUUUGAUGAAGUGUGUGGAGAUUGUUUUGCAGGGUAUUUCAAGACUUCGAGACUCCAUGUCAUGUCCUAAGUCAUAGAGUCUGUAUUAGGAUGUUAAAAAUGUAAUUUUAUUUUUAUUGGAUCGAUCACGCAGAAGGUUGUUGUUUGGUGAUUGCGAUAACCUUCUUAUUUUUGUCUUUGGAUAAGCAUUGUAAAUUCUUUUUGUAUUUUGUCACGAAAUCGCCAAAGGGGGAGAUUGUUAAGGAUUUUAUAAGUUGGCGAAUUUCGUGAAGGGUUUGGAUGGAGUCUCGAAGAAUUAGAAGAUGAAGAUUGACGAAAAGAAUUGAAGUUUUGCGAUCAAAGACCCUUGAGAACUCAGGUAUGAUUAGAAACAAUUUGUGGUGAAGUUUUCAUUAUUAAAAGAUGUUUAGAAGACUUGGUUUUCUUUUCAUUUAUUCAAACUUAAGUUUUCUGAAAAAAUCAGGGGUCGGGGACCGGUCCUUGAUCAGAGGGACCGGACCCAUCAAGCUUCUCUGCGUAGAAGUUUUGGGAGACCGGUCUCUGGUCUUGAGGACCGGUCCCCGUAAGUGGUUUUUCCCUUGAUUGCGGCAGGGGAAGGACCGGUCUCUGAAUUGAGGACCGGUCCCCGUACGCAUGUUUUACAUCUACGCAGCGAAAGACCGGACCUCAUCUUAGAGGACCGGUCUCCCAAGGACCGGUCUCCUCGAAAGGACCGGACCCUAAGACCGUCGUCAGUUUUUAAAAUUGAGUUUUUGGAAUCCUAAUCUAUCUAGAAGUCUUCUAAACCUAUAAAUAUGAUAUGAGGAUCUCUAUUUGACAGUAGUUGAGCGAGAUAACUUUUUAAAAACCCUAACGGCUUGAUUUGGAGUUUCGGUUCUAUGUUUUUAAACUUCGAGCAUUAGAUCAUUAAUUUGAUUCCUAGUUUUGAUUCAAAUUUUAGUUAAGGAUCAAAUUGGUGAUGUUUUAAUUCGAGUUUCUCCUCAUAUUAUAUGUGCUUUCAAAGACCAUUAAUCACCACAAAUAGUUGAACUUCUAAGAGCUUCGGAUGGAGCAUUAGCGCGUGGAUCUCGCGUGAAGACCGUGGAUUCGGUGGGCGUUUCGUGGAAUCGAGGCAUGUGCGGCUGCAAGGACUUGCAGUGUGAUCGGCUAGAGGAUUCCAAGUGAUCGUGGACUAGCAAAGAUAAUCUACAACGAGGAUUCGGUAUUUUGAGUCUUGUAUUUUUGCUAAAUCACUUGUACUCAUGUUUUCUUAGUAGAUUUCUUUGUGUGAUCGGUCCCGUGGGUUUUUCUCUCCGAUUUGGAGUUUUCCCACGUUAAUUCUCGGUGUGCUGAUAUUCUUUUCCGCAUUUACUUCAUAUUCGCAUCGAGUUUAUUUUAUUUUACCGUUUACACCUAUUCACCCCCCUCUAAGUGUUUUUCACCUUUUAGAUCCUCGGGAUACAUAUCUUACAAGUGGUAUCAGAGCGGGUAUAGGUUGUAAUCUAUGGCCGAGGGCGGCAACAUUAAUCGACCCCCCCUCUUCGAUGGCACUAACUACACAUAUUGGAAAGUCCGUAUGAGGGCGUUUCUUAUUGCUAUCGACGAGAGGGUUUUGCAAGCCAUUGAAUUCGGAUGGAAACAUCCUACUGAAGUGGUCAAGAAUGUUACCGGUCCGAAACCUAGAAAUAAGUGGACAAAAGAGGAAAACGAACUAUCUUCGUUCAAUGGGAAGGGUAUCAAUGCUUUGUUCAAUGCGUUGAAUCAAACUGAAUUUUCACGAGUAUCGGCAUGUGAAACCGCCAAAGAAAUUUGGGACACUUUACAAAUCACUCACGAGGGUACAAGCUUGGUAAAGGUUCAGAAAUUACAAAUGUUGACUAGUCGUUUUGAUUCUAUUCGUAUGGAAGAAAAUGAAACCUUUACCGAGUAUUACACUCGUCUUCAAGAUAUUGUCAAUACUUGUGCAAAUUUGGGUGAAAAAAUUUCUGAACCAAAAAUNAGGUGAGGUCCAGUCCUUCGCUGCGUAGCUGUAAAAACAUGCGUACGGAGACCGGUCCUCAAUUCAGAGACCGGUCCCUCUCUGCGCAACAAGAAAAAACCACGUACGGGAACCGGUCCUCAAGAUCAGAGACUGGUCUCCCAAAACUUCUACGCAGAGAAGCUUGAUGGGUCCGGUCCCUCUGAUCAAGGACCGGUCCCUGACCCCUGAGAAUUUUUGAAAACUUUAGUUUGAUAAACAAAAAUAGAAACCAAGUCUUCUAAACAUUUUUAACAACAAAAUCUCACCACAAAUUAUUUAUAAUCAUACCUGAGAUCCCAAGGGUCUUGAUCACCAAACUCCAAUUCUUUCUUCAACCUCCGUCUUCUAACACUUCGAGACUCCGUCCAAAACUACACAAAAAUCGCCAACUUAACAAAAUCCUUAACAUUUAUCGACGACGUAUUGGUGUACUCGCAGAUUGAAGAAGAGCACGAGGAACAUUUAAGGACCGUGUUGCAAAUACUCCGGAAUGAGAAGCUUUAUGCUAAGCUUAAGAAGUGCGAGUUUUGGUUUUCGAAGGUAACCUUCUUAGGCCAUGUGAUUUCCGGGAGCGUAGUCUCGGUGGAUCCAAGGAAAAUUGAGGUGAUUCGGGAUUGGCCUCAUCCGACGAGUGUGGCGGAAGUCCGCAGUUUUCUCGGAUUGGCAGGCUAUUAUUGGCGUUUCGUGGAGGGGUUUGCGAAGUUGACUACUCCUCUCACACGCCUUACGCACAAAGGAGUAAGGUUUGAUUGGAGCGACGGUUGCAACCAAAGCUUCCAAGAGCUGAAAGAAAAGUUGACGUCUACUCCGAUACUUGCGUUGCCAACGCCGGGAGAGAGUUUCAUGGUAUAUAGUGAUGCUUCCUAUAGUGGUCUCGGAUGUGUUCUUAUGCAAAAUGGGCGAGUCAUUGCGCAUGCUUCGCGCCAGUUGAAGAGCUAUGAAAAGAGCUACCCGAUACAUGAUCUCGAGUUAGCGGCGGUCAUUUUCGCGCUAAAGCUAUGGAGGCACUAUCUUUACGGUGAGCAUUGUGAGGUAUAUACCGAUCACAAGAGCCUCAAGUAUUUGUUCACCCAGAAAGAGUUAAAUAUGCGGCAGCGGCGGUGGUUGGAGUUGUUGAAGGAUUAUCACCUUACUAUCCUAUACCACCCUGGGAAAGCUAAUGUCGUUGCCGAUGCGCUAAGUAGGAAAUAUGUUGAGAACUUAGCGACGGCGGUUACUAGCCAACCGUCAUUGCAUAGAGAAAUGCAACGGUUUGGAUUGGAAGUAGUGGCGCCGGAAGUUCCGACUAUCUUUGCGGCACUAGUGGUUCGACCGACCUUAUUGGAGCGAAUAAGGGAGCGGCAAGUUGGUGAUCCAUAUCUCAAAAAGGUGCGGAGUGACAUUGACAGCAGACGCGCCGGCGACUUCGGCGUGGGAUCUGGCGGUGCACUUCGGUUCAAAAACUGAUUGUGUGUGCCCAAGGAUGAGGAGAUUCGUGAGAUGCUGUUGCAAGAGGCGCAUCAUUCCCCGUAUAGUAUACACCCGGGCGGCACUAAGAUGUAUAAAGAUCUAAAGAUACAUUAUUAGUGGCAGGGAAUGAAGAAGGACAUUGGGGAGUUUGUGGCGCAGUGUUUGAUGUGCCAACAAGUGAAGGCCGAGCGUCGAUUUCCCGCGGGAAAGUUGCAAAGAUUACCAAUCCCUGUGUGGAAAUGGGAGGAUAUUGCGAUGGACUUUGUGGUCGGUCUACCCCGAUUGCUAGCUGGACAUUAUGCCAUAUGGGUGGUUGUGGACUGUUUGACGAAGUCGGCUCAUUUCUUGCCGAUCCACACCACGUGGUCAGGAGACAAGUUAGCACAAGUCUACUUGGAUGAGGAAGUGAGAUUGCAUGGGGUUCCAUUAUCGAUUGUAUCAGAUCGAGAUCCCCGGUUCACUUCUCAUUUCUGGAAGAGCUUGCAGGAUGCUCUAGGCACGCGGCUCGAUUUCAGUACAGUGUUUUAUCCUCAGAGUGAUGGCCAGUCAGAGAGGACAAUUCAGAUACUCGAGGAUAUGUUGCGAGCGUGUGUACUCGAUUACUGUGGAGGGUGGCAUGACUAUUUGCCGAUGGCGGAGUACGCUUACAAUAAUAGUUAUCAAGAAAGUAUAGCGAUGGUGCCGUUUUAGGCACUCUAUGGGCGUAGGUGUCGCUCUCCUAUCCAUUGGAGCGAAGUGGGUGAAAGAGUCACCCUUGGUCCGGAUGUGGUGCGAGAGGCAGAAGAGAAAGUCCGUCUUGCUCGCCAACGAUUGAUGACGGCACAAUCGCGGCGGCGAAGCUAUGCGAAUAAGCACCGAAAGGAUUUGGAAUUCGCGGUUGGCGACCGUGUGUUUCUCAAAGUGUCGCCAAUGCGCGGGGUGAAGCGAUUUGGCAUUCGAGGGAAGCUUAGUCCCCGGUACAUUGGCCCUUAUGAGAUUCUAGAGCGAAUUGGGCCGAUGGCGUACAAGUUAGCAUUGCCGCCAAAGCUUGCGGGAGUCCAUAAUGUAUUCCACAUUUCGAAUCUUCGCAAGUAUUUCCGGAACUCCUCACAUGUGUUGGAGUAUGAACCGGUAGAGUUACACAAGGAUGGCACUUAUGAAGAGUUUCCGGUGAGCAUUCUUGCUCGAGAGGAGCGGAAGCUACGGAAUCAUAUUAUUCCGUAUGUGAAAGUGCAAUGGAGUAAUUACUCGAGGCGUGAAUCCACGUAGAAGCUCAAGGAGAAGACGCGCGAGGUUUAUCCUCAAUUGUUUGAACAAGUGGACUAAGGUAUGAGUUAAGUUUCGCAGUCGAAACUAUUUUUAUGGGGUGGGGAAUGUAACAUAUCACUUCCCAGUAAAUCGCGCUGAGUUCCGUCGAAAUAUGCGGAACGCGGAGUGGAACAAGUUGGUAUAGGUUCUAAGUGCAUUGGAACCUAUAUAUAGUGUAAAGGGACCCGAGAGAGUGAAAUUGCAAAAUCUGGCUAAGUCCCAGAUUUUGGGCUCUCGGGGACCGGUCCCUGAAGGAGAGACCGGUCCCCGUACGCAUAGCAACCGGUCAGGGUGAAAAAAUUGGCUAAGUCCUGGAAUUGGGGUCUACGGGAACCGGUCCCUGAGUGAAAGACCGGUCUCCGAGGGUCCGGUCCUUGAAGGAGAGAUCGGUCCCCCAUUGCACAGUCAGCCAAAAAAAAUGUGAAAUUUGGCUAAGUCCGUGGGAGCAGACCUACGGGGACUGGUCCCUGUGGGGAGAGACCGGUCCCCGCAUGCGAAAAUUGCCCAGGAUGGGCUGAUUGGAAAAAUAAAAAGUUGAGGGGCUAAGGUGCAAAGUGACAUGAGUUGUCACGCCCCGUGCCCUGCCUAUUUGGUCGAGUUCGGGUACGCCGACAGACCGCCGAACGGACAGAGUUUUUCCUGUAUGUCCUAGGUGUAAUAUUCCGAAAAUUCGGAAAAUAAAUAUCGAACUUUAGUCAAAUUUACCAAAGUGCGAGAAUGGUACACUUCAAAAAGUCCGAAGGUGUUAAAAUGAGUAAAAGAGUGUUGUGGAAGGUUUUCGAGAGCUAAGAAUCAAAAUUCUGCAAACUGCAGAUUUUCAGCUCUCGGGGACCGGUCCCUGGUGGAAGAGACCGCUCCCCGAACGCGCAAGAAUUGAGAAAAGCCGAAAAUCAAUUAAGUCCCUGAGAACCAGCUCUCGGGAACCGGUCCCUCCCUGAGAGACCGGUCCCCCAGAGACCGGUCCCCUCAAAGAGAGACCGGUCGCAUCACGCGGGAGCCUCGGCUGCCGUAGGGAAAGCUCUUGGAGACCGGUCCCUAGUCGGGGAGAUCGGUCCCCGAACCCGAAAUCUGCCCAGUUUGAGCAGUUUAAUAAAAUGAAAGUUGAGGGAUCUAUUUGCAAUUAUGUAACAAAUGGGUUAUGUUAAGGGGGUUAUGAGGUGUUUUCUCUCAUUCUCUCCCUCUCACACACUCCCUUUCUCCUCUCUUUCUCUCUCUAGAAGACAAAAAAGGAGAAGAAGAAGACAAAGAAAGGAAAGGAAAAGAAGAAGAAGAAAGUAGAGAAGAAGAAGAAGGAGUGAAGAAACUCCCUCUCCCUCAUCUCUAGCUUGGAAAAGGAGAGCUUACAAGGUAAGCUUUGAACCCUAAAUGUGGUAGAUCCCAAAUUAGGGUUUGGGUUGUCUAAUAUACCGAAAAUUCGGAGAAUAAAUAUCGAACUUUAGUCAAAUUGACCAAAGUGCGAGUAUGGUACACUUCGGAAAGUCCGAAGGCGUUAAAAGGAGUAAAAGUGCGCUAUGAAAGGUUUUCGAGAGCUAAAGAAUCAAAAAUCUGCAAAUUGCAGUUUUUGAGCUCUCGGGGACCGGUCCCUGGUGGGAGAGACCGGUCCCCGAACGCAUGAGAAAUGAGACAGCCAAAAAUUUGGCUAAGUCCUGAGAAAAUAGCUCUCGGGAACCGGUCCCUGCCUGAGAGACCGGUCCCCGAGAGACCGGUCCCCCAAAGAGAGACCGGAUGCAUCGCGCUGGAGCCCUGGCUGCCGCAGGGAAGAGCUUCGGGAACCGGUCCCUGGUCGGGGAGACCGGUCCCCGCAUGCGUGAAAUGCCCAGUCCAGGCAGUGUAAUAAAGUAAAAGUUGAGGGGUUUAGCUGCAAUUUUGCAACCCAUAGAGAUAUGUAUGGGGACAAAUGAGGUAUUUCUCUCAUUUUUCAUCCCCUCCCACUCUCUCCUCUUUUUCUCUCUCUAGAAGACAAAGAAGGAGAAGAAGAAGAGAAGGAAAAAGGAAGGAAAAGAAGAAAAAGAAAGUGGAGAAGAAGAAGGAGUGAAGAAACUCCCUCUCCCUCAUCUCUAGCUUGGAAAAGGAGAGCUUACAAGGUAAGCUUUGAACCCUAAAUGUGGUAGAUCCCAAAUUAGGGUUUGGGUUGUCUAAUAUACCGAAAAUUCGGAGAAUAAAUAUCGAACUUUAGUCAAAUUGACCAAAGUGCGAGUAUGGUACACUUCGGAAAGUCCGAAGGCGUUAAAAGGAGUAAAAGUGCGCUAUGAAAGGUUUUCGAGAGCUAAAGAAUCAAAAAUCUGCAAAUUGCAGUUUUUGAGCUCUCGGGGACCGGUCCCUGGUGGGAGAGACCGGUCCCCGAACGCAUGAGAAAUGAGACAGCCAAAAAUUUGGCUAAGUCCUGAGAAAAUAGCUCUCGGGAACCGGUCCCUGCCUGAGAGACCGGUCCCCGAGAGACCGGUCCCCCAAAGAGAGACCGGAUGCAUCGCGCUGGAGCCCUGGCUGCCGCAGGGAAGAGCUUCGGGAACCGGUCCCUGGUCGGGGAGACCGGUCCCCGCAUGCGUGAAAUGCCCAGUCCAGGCAGUGCACAGAGGUAAAAGUUGAGGGGUUUAGCUGCAAUUUUGCAACCCAUAGAGAUAUGUAUGGGGACAAAUGAGGUAUUUCUCUCAUUUUUCAUCCCCUCCCACUCUCUCCUCUUUUUCUCUCUCUAGAAGACAAAGAAGGAGAAGAAGAAGAGAAGGAAAAAGGAAGGAAAAGAAGAAAAAGAAAGUGGAGAAGAAGAAGGAGUGAAGAAACUCCCUCUCCCUCAUCUCUAGCUUGGAAAAGGAGAGCUUACAAGGUAAGCUUUGAACCCUAAAUGUGGUAGAUCCCAAAUUAGGGUUUGGGUUGUCUAAUAUACCGAAAAUUCGGAGAAUAAAUAUCGAACUUUAGUCAAAUUGACCAAAGUGCGAGUAUGGUACACUUCGGAAAGUCCGAAGGCGUUAAAAGGAGUAAAAGUGCGCUAUGAAAGGUUUUCGAGAGCUAAAGAAUCAAAAAUCUGCAAAUUGCAGUUUUUGAGCUCUCGGGGACCGGUCCCUGGUGGGAGAGACCGGUCCCCGAACGCAUGAGAAAUGAGACAGCCAAAAAUUUGGCUAAGUCCUGAGAAAAUAGCUCUCGGGAACCGGUCCCUGCCUGAGAGACCGGUCCCCGAGAGACCGGUCCCCCAAAGAGAGACCGGAUGCAUCGCGCUGGAGCCCUGGCUGCCGCAGGGAAGAGCUUCGGGAACCGGUCCCUGGUCGGGGAGACCGGUCCCCGCAUGCGUGAAAUGCCCAGUCCAGGCAGUGUAAUAAAGUAAAAGUUGAGGGGUUUAGCUGCAAUUUUGCAACCCAUAGAGAUAUGUAUGGGGACAAAUGAGGUAUUUCUCUCAUUUUUCAUCCCCUCCCACUCUCUCCUCUUUUUCUCUCUCUAGAAGACAAAGAAGGAGAAGAAGAAGAGAAGGAAAAAGGAAGGAAAAGAAGAAAAAGAAAGUGGAGAAGAAGAAGGAGUGAAGAAACUCCCUCUCCCUCAUCUCUAGCUUGGAAAAGGAGAGCUUACAAGGUAAGCUUUGAACCCUAAAUGUGGUAGAUCCCAAAUUAGGGUUUGGAUUAACCUAGAAAUGGUUUUAAUGAAAUGUUUAGAGUCCUUGAAGCUUUCCUUUUGCUUCUUUUGAGAUCAAAACCAUGAAAUGGUGGAAAUGGGUGAAGCUUAAAGGUGAGCUUGACCCCUUCCAUGGUGAAACCCAAACUAGGAUUUUGAUAAAGCUAAGAAUGGUUUAGAUGGACUCUUUAGAGGAGAAUAAAGCUACUUUUGCUUCUCAUUGAGAUCAAACCCUAGGUUUGAUAUAUGUAAUGGAGCUAGGGCACCCAAAUUGGGGCUUUUGCUCAUGGGGAUUUCUAAGUGAAAUUGACCCUUUAGAAACCUAAUUGGGGGUAUUUCCAACGCGUUGGUGCGUUCGGAUUAGCAUUACUAAAAGUCUAUAAAAAGUUAUGGGCAAAAUGACCUAAGUUGGCAUCGUUUUGCCGCAGGUAAAGAACGAGAAGUCUAAAAAUCCCAAGAAAGUCAUCGGAGCACCCUUGAAAGCCUACGAGGUGGGUGGUGCUUCUCAAACUCGUUGAACUUCCCUCUAUGCCUAAUGUGUCAUUCAUUUGAGCAUAUGUAUAUACAUUGUUGCAUGCAUUUAGGGUAAAGUAAUGAUAAUAAUGUGAUGUUGCAUGAUUGUGAGUACAACUUGCAUAAUGUGAUGGUUGAGAACCUUAUGAAUGUCAAAAACCCUAUAUGUGUGCAUGAGUUGAAAUGUGAGAACCAAAGUGAGGCAAAAGAACAGAGUGACACAUGACAUAGAUCGAGUGACAUUUGAUAGUGCAAAGUAAAGUGACACUAGAGCUAGUGUGAGGCAAAGAAUCAAUGUGAUGUAAAGAAUAAUGCUAAUGACUAAAGUGAGAACAAAGUAGGGUGUAAAGAACACAAAUGCUAGAGAUAGCCAAAAGUAAAGACAUGUAAAGAACAUGAUUGCUAGAGUAGCAACAUAAAGUGACGUAAAGAACACUAGAGCUAGUGUAAAGUCAAGAUUGAACAUAUAAUCCUUUGAGUUAAGGAUUCGAUCAUACUUGCUAUGAGUUCCAUGCUCGAGGGCGGUCGCUCUCCCUGGGGCGAUGCGCUCCAGAGUUAUGCAUCACGGGUUGGAGUAAACCUGAAGGACGGUCCUAGCGGGUGAGUUCCUGCAAUGAUGGACUUAAUGUGAAGCAAGCUAAUGUGGCGAAACCCCCGGGUUAGCCUUGAGAUUAAAGAACAAAAACUAAAGAACAAAGAACAAAGAACAAGAACAAAGUGUAAAGUGUAAAGAAUAAAAGAAUUUGCAUAAUCUGCAUAUAUUAAUGUUGAGCAUAUUUCCUGCUUAUUGUUCGGGCAUAUUAGCAUCAUAUUAUAGAUUGGUUACUAUAUACAGCUUAUCCUUUCUAGUAUGCCUGAGUUAGUCCUAGUGGGAAAGUCGGUGAUGUUGAGGCCGAACCCACUGGGAACUUUGUUAUAGUUCUCACCCCACUAUUUCCACAGAGCCAGGACCGAGCGAGCCGGCGAGCGACCGAGGUAAAGGUAUCGCGCCUUAGUCAGAGGCCACCAGAGUUGGGUUUACAUUUUGUUAGUAAUUACCCUUUUAUCAUCUUUUGAACUUGAUGAUUAGUGAUGUAAAGGAAGAAUGUAAAGCACCCUUUUGAGGUAAAUGUGAUGUAAGAAAGAUAUGAUGUAAUGAAUGUAAGAAUUCAAAAAUGUACAAGUGAAUGUUUAGUUUCCUUUUUCUUUCACUCGUGGCUAUUGCUUACCCUCGUGUAAACCGUAUUUGUAUGUUUCCGCUAGUGCACUUCUUGUUUGAAAAUGUACAUGUGAUGAGCCUUGGGCGGACAGGAAAAGCUCUGUUCGUUUGGCGUCUGUUUGACGUGCUCGGGCCGGCCCAAAUUGGUAUCGAUCCCGGGGCAUGACAGGUUGAGUUAAUAAUGAUUUCUAUAGAAUCUCUAGAGUCUUUGAAUCUUUCUUUUUGCUUCUUUUGAGAUCAAAACCAUGGAAUGGUGGAGUUGGCGAAGCUUGCAUGAAAGCUUCAACCUCCUCUCAUAGUGAAACCCUAAAAUGGGUUUUGAUAAAGCUAAGAAUGGUUUAGAUGGACUCUUUAGAGUAGAGUGAAGCUAUAUUUGCUUCCCAAUGAGAUCAAACCCUAGGUUUGAUGUGUGGGAUGGAGCUAGGGCACCCAAAUUGGGGCUUUUGCUCAUGGGAAUUUCUAAGUGAAAUUGACCCAGUAGAAACCUAAUUGGGGGUAUUUCCGGCGCGUUGGUGCGCUCGGAAAAACGUUACGAAAAGCCAAUGUAAAGUUAUGGGCAAAAUGACCUAAGUUGGCUUCGUUUUGCCGCAGGUAAAGAACGAGAAGUCUAAAAAUCCCAAGAAAAUCAUCAGAGCACCCUUGAAAGCCUACGAGGUGGGUGGUGCUUCUCAAACUCGUUGAACUUCCCUCUAUGCCUAAUGUGUCAUUCAUUUGAGCAUAUGUAUAUACAUUGUUGCAUGCAUUUUAGGGUAAUGUAAUGAUAAAAACGUGAUGUUGCAUGAUUGUGAGUACAACUUGCUUUAUGUGAUGGUUGAGAACCUUAUGAAUGUUAAAACCCUAUAUGUAUGCAUGAGAGAAAAUGUGAGUACCAAAGUGAGCCAAAAGAAUCGAGUGGCACAAUGACAUAGAUCGAGUGGCAUUUGAAAAUGUAAAGUAAAGUGACACUAGAGUUAAUGUGAGGCAACGAACUAAUGCGAGGUAAAGAAUGAUAUUAAUGAUUAAAGCUAAUGUAAAGUGGGGCAUAAAGAACGUGUAAAGUUAAAGAAUGUGAAAGCCAAAGAUAGCCUAAAGUAAAGGAAUGUAAAGAACUUGAUUGCUAGAGUUAGCAACAUAAAGUGAUGUAAUGAACACUAGAGUUAGUGCAAAGUUAAGAUUGAACUUAAAAUCCUUAGAGUUAAGGAUUCGAUCAUACUUGCUAUGAGUUCCGUGCUCGAGGGCGGUCGCUCCCCCUCGGGCGAUGCUCUCCGGAGUUAUGCAUCCAAUACAUGAGUCGGGUCGAAGAUGUACUUCCGGAUGACCGAUACAUGAAAGACGUUGUGCACGCCCAAUAGGUUUGGUGGUAGAGCAAGUCUAUACGCCACCGGACCUACACGCUCCAAGAUCUCAUACGGUACAAUAAACCUAGGGCUCAGCUUACCCCGAAUCCCAAAUCUCCUGAUCCCUCUAGUCAACAAGACCUUCAAGAAUACAUGGUCUCCAACUUGGAAUUCUAAGUCUCGCCGCCGUCGGUCGGCGUAGCUCCUCUGUCUACUCUGUGCCGUCAAAAGUCGCUCCCGAGCAAUUCGAAACUUGUCCUCAGCUUCUUGGAGCACAUCAGGGCCUAAAGCCAAUCUCUCGCCAACUUCACUCCAAUGAAGUGGCGAUCUACACUUCCGUCCAUAGAGUGCCUCGAAGGGUGCCAUCUUGAUGCUUGCUUGAUAACUGUUGUUGUAAGCAAAUUCCGCCAUCGGUAAAUACUGCGACCACCCUCCCUAGAAGUCUAUCACACUAUCCAGGAGCAUAUACUCUAAAGUCUGUAUAGUGCGCUCCGACUGUCCAUCACUCUGCGGGUGGAAAGCUAUACUGAAAUCCAAUCGAGUGCCUAAGGCGUCUUGCAGACUCCUCCAAAAGUGAGACACAAAGCGGGUGUCUCGAUCAGAUACAAUCGAUAUAGGCACUCCGUGAAGUCACACAAUCUCAUCAAGUACACUUGUGCGAGCUUCUCCCCGGUCCAAGUCGUAUGGAUAGGUAUGAAAUGCGCCGACUUCGUCAACCUAUCCACGAUCACCCAAAUAACAUCAUUCCCAGCCUGUGAGCGAGGCAAUCCAGUCACAAAGUCCAUGGUGAUCUUCUUCUACUUCCACACGGGAAUAGGCAAACUCUGAAGUUUUCCCGCGGGAACUCGGUGCUCAGCCUUAACUUGUUGGCAAGUUAAGCAUCUAGCAACAAACUCACCAACAUCCUUCUUCAUCCCGGGCCACCAAUAAAGCAACUUCAAGUCCUUGUACAUCUUGGUACCUCCCGGAUGGAUAGCAUAGGGUGCUCGAUGUUCUUCUUGAAGAAUAUCCUCUUUAAUUCCCGAAUACGCCGGUACGCAUAUCCGCCCACGGAAUCGCAUCAACCCUCGGUUAUCCACUAGGAAGUUGCCGGUGCAACCAUCAACCAUUUUACCUCUGAUCUUGAGCAACUCCAAUUCAAAAACUUACUUUUCUUUGAUUCUGUCAAAAAGAGUAGGUUGCACUACCAAGGUCAUCAACUUCAAGGGUGUGUCAGGAGUCACCACCUCCAACUCUAACCGCUUCAUCUGCUCGAUCAACUGCGGUUGGGUAACCAAAUGCAUCGCUAAGUUUUCUAUCGAUUUCCUACUUAGCGCAUCCGCCACCACGUUAGCCUUGCUCGGGUGGUAGAGAAUAGUAAGAUCAUAAUCCUUGAGUAGCUCUAACCAUCUGCGCUGCCUCAAGUUCAACUCCUUCUGAGUAAACAGGUACUUUAAGCUCUUGUGAUCCCUGUAUACUUCACACCGCUCGCCAUAAAGAUAGUGGCGCCAUAGCUUCAAUGCGAACACUACGGCCGCCAACUCCAAAUCAUGCGUCGGGUAGUCUUUUCAUAUUCCCUUCAGUUGCGAGAAGCAAUACGGCGAUCACCCUUGCCAUCUUGCAUCAACACACAGCCCAAACCAUUAAGGUGAAGCAUUAUAUAUACCACACUGCUCCAGCUACUGGUAGGGUCAGGAUCGGGGCGGUAGUCAAUCGUUGCUUCAACUCUUGGAAGCUUCUCUCGCACGCAUCAUUCCAAAUGAACUUGACUCCUUUAUGCGUGAGCCUCGUGAGGGGAGUAGAUAACUUAGCAAAUCCCUCAACAAAUCUCCGGUAGUAACAGGCCAAUCCAAGGAAACUCCGUAUCUCCGUGACGCUCGUCGGUCUCAGCCAAUCCUUCAUUGCUUCAAUUUUCUUAGGAUCCACAGCUAUACUUGAUCCUGAAAUCAAGUGUCCAAGGAAAGCUACCUCCCAAAGCCAAAAUUCACAUUUCUUCAACUUGGCAUAAAGCUCCCUUUCCCGAAGUACUUGAAGUACAAUCCUCAAGUGUUCCUCGUGAUCCACAUCGCUUCGGGAGUAGACCAAAAUGUCGUCGAUGAACACCACGACGAACCUGUCUAGAUAAGACUUGAAAACACGGUUCAUUAGAUCCAUAAAAGCUGUCGGGGCAUUAGUUAGCCCAAACGGCAUAACUAUGAAUUCGUAAUGUGCAUACCGUGUUCUAAAAGCUGUCUUCGAUACAUCCUCGGGCUUGAUUCUCAAUUGGUGGUAUCCCGACUGCAAGUCUAUUUUGGAAUACACACACGAUCCCUGAAGCUGAUCAAACAAGUCGUCGAUCCUCGGCAACGGAUACUUGUUCUUGAUCGUGACCUUAUUGAGUUCACGAUAAUCCACGCAAAGGCGAAGUGAUCCGUCCUUCUUCUUGACGAACAAAACUGGCGCUCCCCAAGGCGAGACACUCGGUCGAAUGAAGUUUUAUCCAACAAAUUCUGCAGCUGUGCCCUCAGCUCCCUCAGCUCUGCCGGUGCCAUCCUAUAGGGUGCCUUUGAGAUUGGGGCAGCCCCAGGGACGAGAUCUACCACAAACUCAAUCUCCCUAUCAGGAGGCAUACCCGGUAGCUCAGCUGGAAACACAUCCUGGAACUCCCGCACCACCGGGAUAUCCUCGAUCCUAGGGGUGUCAUCCUCGCCCCUCAGCACAACACUAGCCAAAUAGGCUACGCAACCUCUGCUAAUCAGCUGCCUAGCUCGAGACGAGCUGAUCGUCAUCGCAAACAGCGAACUCCGGCAUCCACUAAAUACCACCUCAGUCUGCCCCGGUUCUCUAAAAGUAACCGUGCGAUUCUUGCAAUCAAUCGUGGCAUAAUACUUGGUCAACCAAUCCAUGCCCAAGACCACAUCAAAAUCCCCCAGCUUGCGCAAAGCUAGCAAAUCUAUAGGCAUGAUCCAAUCUCCUACCCGAAUAGGGCAACUGGGGCUAUACUCUCUAAUAUCCAAAAUGUGGUCGGGUACAACAACAUGUCCCGUAUGCAACAAAGAAACCAACGGGAUGCCAUGCAACUCGGCAAACAGCCGAUCUAUGAAUGAAUGCGAUGCACCGGUAUCAAAUAAAGCACGAACUCUAAUGCCAUCAAGUAAAAUGAUACCUGCAACCACAUCCUCGGCUGCUGCCGCCUCCUCGGUCUGAGCGGCGUACAUGCGCCCACUCGGGGCCUGUCGAGAUCCCUCGCUCUGGCGCUGGACGGGUGGCCGCCCAGGCUGGUACUGUGUCGACGGAGUCCCGUGGCUGACGGCUGGUAGAGCCGGUGCCGAUGCAGUCGACGGUGCCGGUGAAGAACCUCUCGGGCACUCGGUACGCACGUGGCCCUCCUGGCCACACUGGAAACACCUGCCCGCCCGCUGUGGACACUGCGGUGGGUAAUGGGGACCACCGCAGAUCACACACGGGGAAGGCCGGCGCCGAUCGGAUCCUCCUCGAUGCGCUACUGAGCCGCGUCCACGCUGCUGGCUCCUCGGAUGCUUCGGCGGCCUCCUAGAGUGCGUCUGGCUCGCACCCUCAGCCGCAGGCCUCUUGGCCUUACCCUUGUCCCUAGCCUCUCGCUGCUCCUGGACCUCUGCCGCGCCGCUCUCCACGAUGAGCGCGCGAUCCACCACCUCCCGGUAGGUUUGGAGGUUAGAGGAUUGCACAAACCGGAAGAUCGACGGUCGCAACCCUCGCUCGAAGAUGCGGGCCUUGUCCUCGUCGUCCCGCACGACGAAGGGCACGCAAUGCAGAAGCCGAGAAAACUCCCUCUCGUACUCGGCUACGGUCCUGUCACCCUGGCGCAAGCUGCGCAAAUCCUGCUCCAUCUUCCUCUUGACGCUGGUCGGGAAGUAGUGCGCCAGAAGAAGCUCCUUGAACCUCGUCCAAGUGAUAGAUGCCAAGUCAGUGCUGGGGUGCUCCUGAAAGUCCAACCACCAGCGGUAGGCCUCGCCGUCCAAGUGGUGAGUGGCGAGCCAAACUCUGUCCCUCUCCUCCACGAAGGUGUCGCGGAAGAGCUUCUCCAUAUGCAUCAACCACUUCUCCACGAUCCAGUGGUCGACCUUCUCGCCGUCGAAGACUUAGGGACUGCAUCUCCUGAACUCAUUGAGGCGCUCCAUUAGUCUGUCUCGCUUCGCCCUCUCAACCAAGGUAGGGAAUGCAGCUCCAACCGGGGGCCUCUGCACAGGUAGUGCCGCCAAAACCUCCUCCCGGGGUGCGGCCGCAGGCGCCGCACGCGAAGAACUGGGCGCGGGGGACGGCGCCCUCGAUGCGACGUCCACAACGGGUGCUGGCGGUGUAGGGGCCUGCGUCUCCCUAGAAGCUGCUGCCUGCUGCAGGAGUAAGUCCUCCAGGCGCUUCAUCCGCGCCUCCUGUCGGCGUGCCGCCUUAGUCUGCUGUCGGGCCGCCUCCGCCUGCUGAGUGACUAAAUCGGUGAGGGCCGCAAGCUGGCCCCUCAACUCACGGAUCUCGCCAGAUCCGGAGGUAGCGGAGCAUUGGGAGCCUUUACUUGAAGUAAAGUGUAAACCUAAGAAGCUUGAAUACCUGGAUCGCUUAUCAGCGUGAACUCGACAAGAGGCGUUGUAUAUUGGUGGGUCGAACCUUCCCGAAAUUGGUGAAUUUUCUCUAUGUCUCCUUUGACAUUAUGAGUUGAAGUUAUUACAUGUUUAUGAAUAUAUGUAUAGUGCGAGAAAUUGAAACAUGCGUAAAUGUGUAGAUCAUAUCGGAUAUGAUAGCAUAUCUAAACAAUAAGGAAAGACUUAUGACUUGCUUAUUUCAAUAAUCACUUAUUUGAUUAUUAUGCAUUCAUAGUAUUAAUGAUUUGUAUAAGCAAGUUAAGCUUGAGGUCAUUUAAAAGGAUAUAACUGUUACAACGUGAAUAUACCAUUUAGCUCAGUUGAACAGCAAAGAAAGUGAUGUACUUGGGAUCACGCUAGGUAAUGUUAUAUUGUAAGCAUGAUGGCUAUACUUCAACCUAUUGUGCAGAUGAAUUGGCUUGAGUAUACAUUCAUCGUAUAGAGAUUAUGUGAAAAGUAUUUCAUCGAUUAUUUUGCCUACUUAUAUUAAGUAGUUGGUUUCUACCUUCAUCUGAUAGAUUGGCUAGAGCUUCACUUGAUAUUAUAUGAACUAGUCAGGUAACUAGAAUUUAGUAUUAUGACAUAACAUGAAUGUUAUACAACUGAAUGUAAUCUAGUUGAGUCAAUAACUAGAUUUGGAUAUGAUAUCAUACUUGUAUAAUCAAGUAGAUGUAAUUGCAUAGCAUUUGUUCUCUCCAAGUAGUGGAGGUUUACAUUGAACUACAGAAUAUGUGCCAUUAGUCUUUGAGUAUGACUUUAGUAAACCACUUCCCUUAUGUGUAAGGAGUAGUGAGAAGACUAUGAGUGAGUGACUAGGUGUAGUGUCACGUCCCAAUCCCCGCCAAUUUGGUCGGGUUCGGGUCACGUCAACAGACGCCGAACGGACAGAGCCUCCCCUGUCCGUCCAAGGCACCAACAACAUGUAUAAAUAGGCAAUCAACAAGAUAUUUGCAUAUAUAUAUAUUACAAGGCUUGCACGAGGGCAAGCAACAACGGAAGCGAAAGCUCUAAGCUAAAUAUACAACAUACAUGAUAUUUGAUUAAAUUUAAAUCAAAUACAAGUGAUUAAAACUAUUACAUUUCCACUCAACCAUCAUUUCUUUUUACAUUUAGCCAUCCACCAAAAUUACAUGAUUGUUUACAACUUUACAUCUCUAAAUCAACAAAAGAAGUUGAUACAUGUAUACCAAAAGGAAAAUGGCUACAAAAUACAUAAAGUUCCGGUGGCCGCUAUCUACGGCACUAUACCCUUGCCUCGGUCCUCCGCCGCCCCGCUCGUGCUAGGACCUGUAGGGUUAGUGGUGUGAGAACUACAACGAAGUUCCCAGUGGGUUCGGCAUCCGACCUCGCCGACUUACCCACUAGGUCUAUCCAGGCAUAAAUAUUUCAAGGAAAGAAAAGUAACCCGUAGGCUAACUCCGGAGUGCCGGCUUGUAGGGAGCGACCCUCACAAGCAUGUGCGAAUGAGCACAAAUGGCAAGCAAGCGUAGUCAAGGCUCAAGUAUCCAACCCUCAUGUCUCAACAUGGCAAUAGCCACUAGUAACCCAACGGUCUAGCUCUAUGACACAAAGUGAUAUCUCAACACUAACUUGCUUAGUGCCUCUUUAUGACACUUAAGCAUCACAACUAAUCAAGCUCAAUUCAUGUUCUAGGUUCCAAAUAUGACGUUAAUACCAAUGCUCACUAUAGCCCGGAGCCCAAUGCCUCUUUAUGACAUUGGCCCAAACUCUCAAAUAGUCUAAGUCCCCAAGCCUUUCUAGGCUUCCAAAAUCCCUAAUGUCACAAUUGGGCAUAUGGUUAAAAUGCAUGAAAGCAAUAUUCAUUUUCAUAAUAGGAAUCAUGGUCCCAAGCCCCAAUUAGAAUGCUAUGUCUCACAUGCAUGCACCCUACCACAUAGAGGUCCAAGAAUUUUACUGUACAUAACAUAUGCAUGUUAAGCAUUCUAAAAUUCAUAAUAAAUAUAUCUAACAUGAUUAUGCAUGCUUUAUCAAUUAACGAUACUCAAAACAUCACAAAUGAGAUUUUCUCAUUGUGUGGCUAGGUCAAACCCACCGAACCGUCGUGUAGUGCCUCGUUUCGCCGAACGAAGUUGUCCACGAGUCUCAAAAUACCCUAAAAGCAGUGAACGAAGAGAUACGCAAGCGUUACGAGCAACUUUAGGCUCAAACAUUAUCCACCACAAGAAAAGGGCAAAAACUCACCUAGGGGAUAGAAAUCCUCUCUCAAGCUCCAAAAGAAGGCUAGGAUCCUUCCAAUCUAACCCAAAGGAAGGCUCUAAUCCAAGAAAUUUAGCCUCAAAAGCCCUAGAUUCAAAAUGCCCAAAGUUAACCCUAAAAUCCCAUUCUAGGGCUCCAUCUACUAAAAAUCCUCAAAUCAAGGUCUAGAGGAAGGAAAUGAGCAACUAACCUCCUUAGAAGCUCCAAUCCAAGCUCCAAGGGUGAAGACCUCCUCUCUUGCAAGCUCCAAGUCCAAGCCUUCAAGCACCAACGAGGUGGGAAGAAAAAGAGAGGCAAAGAAAUGCUCCAAGUCCAAGCUAGAUCCUCCUCCUCUUCUUCUCUUUCUUCUUCUUCUUCUCCUUCUUCUCUCUCUAACAAGGGUGUGGGGAGAGUGUGAGAAGAGAAAUGAGAAGGAGAGAGGGUGGGGUGGCCAUAUAAGCCAUCUAGUGUAAUAAAAUCCCAAGAGGCCCCUCAAAAAUCCAAUAUUGCAACAGCCCAGUCUGGGCAGUUUUUGCACAGAGGGACCGGUCUCUCCCCAGCAGGGACCGGUCUCUCGUGUCGAACCCGAAAAACCAUUGUUCGGGAACCGACCUCUCCCCGCGCGUGACCGAUCUCUCACUGCGUAGACGUGCUCGGGGACCGGUCUCGCCCGCUAGGGACCGGUUGCCUCAGGGCUGCCGCAACGCUACUCACUGUGGGACCGGUCUCUCCUUUCAGGGACCGGUCCCCGAGAGUGAAAACUCUCAGGACUUGUCCAAAACUAAGGUCUUCGAACUUUUUAGGUCGGAAAACAUUCUACGACCCUCCACCGAGUGUGGAAAAGCUCGAAACACAUCCAAUCACGCGAACCCCGCAGUUUGCAACGGUCCAGUGUGUUACAUAACUUGUCUCCCGACCAAGUAGUGUGGAUCGGCAAAAAGUGCGCCGAUUUUGUCAACCGGUCCACAACUACCCAUAUCGCAUCGUGUCCACCUUGUGACCUAGGCAGACCUGUCACAAAGUCCAUUGCAAUAUCUUUCCAUUUCCACACGGGUAUAGGUAGACUCUGCAAUUUGCCCGCUGGAAAUCGACGCUCCGCCUUCACUUGUUGGCACGUGAGACAUUGCGCCACGAACUUCCCUAUGUCUUUCUUCAUGCCCGGCCACCAAUAAUGUAAUUUCAAGUCUCGAUACAUUUUGGUGCCGCCCGGGUGAAUGCUAUAGGGAGAUUGAUGCGCUUCUUGCAUAAUCGCCCUCCGAAGAUCGUCGUCCUUGGGCACGCACCAACGAUCCCGAUAUCGUAGUGCGCCGUCGGUUCCAAUGCCAAAAUCUUCGGCACUACCGCUCUCAACUUUGGCCCGCACCUUUUGGAGAAAUACAUCCGAUGUUUGCAAUCCUUUAAUUCUCUCCAUCAAGGUUGGUUGCACAACUAAAGUGGUAAGUGUUGCCAGCACUCUCGGCGCCACAACUUCUAGUCCAAACCGUUGCAUCUCCUUUUGCAAUGCCGGUUGAGGCGUAAUCUCCGUCGCCAAAUUUUCCGCCGACUUUCUACUUAGAGCAUCUGCCACGACGUUCGCUUUCCCGGGGUGGUAGAGAAUCGUGACGUCAUAAUCUUUGAGCAACUCUAACCACCGCCGCUGUCGCAAGUUUAGCUCCUUCUGGGUGAACAAGUAUUUGAGACUCUUAUGAUCGGUGUAGAUCUCACAAUGUUCCCCAUAUAGGUAAUGCCUCCACAGUUUUAGCGCGAAAACGACCGCCGCUAGCUCAAGAUCGUGAGUCGGGUAGUUUUUUUCAUAACUCUUCAACUGGCGCGAAGCAUAAGCUAUGACUCGGCCGUUUUGCAUUAAGACACAUCCGAGACCGAUACAUGAAGCAUCACUGUAUACGACAUAACUCUCUCCCGGCGUCGGUAAAGCAAGCACCGGAGUAGAUAUUAGUCUAUUCUUUAGCUCCUCAAAGCUCCGCUCACACUCGGGGCUCCAAACAUACUUCACCCCUUUGUGCGUAAGGCGCAUCAGUGCAGUCGUUAUCCUGGCGAACUCUUCCACGAACCGUCGGUAAUAGCCCGCAAGUCCAAGGAAGCUACGAAUUUUCGCUACACUUGUCGGGCGAGGCCAAUCUUUAAUCGCCUCAACUUUCUUUGGGUCCACCGAGAUGCCAUCUCCGGAUACAACGUGGCCCAAGAAGGUAACCUCCGAAAGCCAAAACUCGCAUUUCUUUAAUUUUGCGUAAAGCUUUUCCUUCCGGAGUAUCUCCAACACGAGUCUUAGGUGCUCCUCGUGUUCUUCUUCGGUUCGAGAAUAUACCAAUACGUCGUCAAUGAAAACCACGACACACCGGUCCAAUAGCGGACGGAAGAUCCGAUUCAUUAGGUCUAUAAAUGCCGUCGGGGCAUUAGUGAGCCCGAAUGGCAUGACCGUAAACUCAUAGUGGCCAUACCGCGUACGGUACGCUAUCUUGUGUACAUCUUUGGGUCGUAUCUUCAGUUGAUGAUACCCCGACUGCAGAUCAAUCUUGGAAUAUACCCUUGACCCUUGCAACUGGUCGAACCGGUCAUCAAUUCUUGGCAAUAGGUAUUUAUUCUUGAUCGUCACUCUAUUCAACUCGCGAUAAUCCACGCAGAGUCGGAGUGUGCCGUCUUUCUUCUUUACAAAUAGCACCGGAGCUCCCCACGGGGACACGCUCGGUCGUACGAAGCCUUUAUCGAGCAAAUCUUGUAAUUGAGCUUUCAACUCUUUUAGCUCCACCGGUGCCAUUCUGUAUGGAGCCUUCGAAAUUGGCGCCGCCCCGGGAAUCAAGUCAAUGACAAACUCGACUUCCCAAUCUGGGGGCAAUCCCGGUAACUCCGCUGGGAAUACAUCCAGAUACUCCCGCACAACUCAAAUACUCUCCAGUUCCGGGUACUCCUGUCGAAGGUCUACGAUGGUCGCCAAGUAGGCCUUACAACCACCCUUGAUCAUCCUUUUCGCCCUCACCGUCAAUAUAGUGGCUGCGAAACGCUUGCCUUUACACGCCCAAUAGACAACCUCCUCUUGGUUGGGUUCACGGAACGUGAUCACCCUUCUUUCGCAAUCUAUAACCGCGUAGUACUUGGAGAGCCAAUUGAUCCCCAAGAUUACCUCGAAUCCCCACAUUUCUUUCAAUACUAGAAGGUCGAUCGGCAUAAUCUAAUCACCUAUUUGCACCGGGCAGUCCAAGCACUCAUCGUAGACGUCGAUCGAGUGCUCGGGAGUGUUCACCAACCAAUACUCCUCAUUAUGAGUCAUCUCUAUAUUAUGAGCUUGUGCAAAUGAUGCUAAUAUGAAUGAAUGAGAUGCACCCGUAUCAAAUAUAGCUCUAACUCUAGUGCCUCUGAUCAGAAUAAUACCUGCCACCACGUCCUCGGGAACUAUGAUCGGCUGCUCCUCCACCUGAGUGGCAAAAACCCGCCCACUAGGUGCUCGAGAAGCCUCCAGCUGAUGAGGCACCGACGGUCGUCCAGUAGAUGUUGCAGGUGGCAGUCCCGCCAGCGGUCGCUAAGUGUAUUGAGCCGAAGCUGAUGACGGGGUUGGGGACACGCCGCCCGGGCACUCUCGGCCAAGGUGGCCCGCCUGGCCACACCGAUAGCAUCGCCCCUCUCGCUGUGGGCAAGAGGUAACCCGGUGGUCUUCACCGCAGAUUACACAUAGAUAGGCGACACGGCUCUGGGUCUGACUCCUACCUCCCCGCCAAUGUGAUCGUGGAGGUCGCGGGGGUCACUUAGAACUCGAUUGCCCCGCAGAUCCACCAGCCGGUCGCUUCUUGGUCUUAUCUUUUUCCCUGUCUCUCUCAAAAGUCUCGCGCUCAUCACGAUCAAUGGCAUUCCCGCGCUCCACCCAAAGCGCGCGAUCAAGCACUUCCUCAUAGGUCUUCAAGCGAAAUGCAUGAAUAACCUUGAAAAUCUCGGGUCGCAACUCGCGCUCGAAUACCUCCGCUCGGUCCCUAUCUCCAUGAACCAAGUCCGGCACACAGUUAAUCAUGUGCGUGAACUCCCUCUCGUACUCCCGCACUGAUCGGCUUCCUUGCCUUAACUUCUGAAAAUCCUCCUUGAUUUUCCUUUUGUCGCUUUCGAGGAAAUACUCCAUCAGCAGCAUCUCCCGGAACGCUUCCCAAGUAAGAAAAGGGUGCCCUAGCGAGCGAUUUUUCCUCGCUUGAUUCCACCACAACCGGGCCGACCCAUCAAAACAAUGAGCCGCCAAAUGAACUUUAUCCUUCUCGAGGGUAUAAAUAUCCUCGAACAAAGCUUCCAUCGCGGCUAGCUAGUUCUCUGUCGUCCACGGAUCCUUCACGUCACCAUUGAAGGUAUGAGGGUUGAACCACUUGAAUGCUGUCAGCGCCGCCAACGUGCGCUCCUGCUCGACCUCAAGUACAUCGAAAAUAGGAGCCGAUAAACCCGAUGCCGUCGGAGGAAUAGCCGUCACUGGCGCUGCCGCCAUCGCAGGAGGUGGUGCUACAGGAGCAGCCGGUGGGGGUGGAUCCCUUGGCACUGAUGCCGCUGCCGCCUGUUGCGCCAUCAUCUCGUGGAGCCGCCCUAUCUGCAACCCUUGAAUCCGCAUAGCCCCGGCCAAAGCCGCUACUUGGGCUCGCAACUCGCGCACGUCAUCCGUCCCCGACUGCCCGGGCUCUUCCCGAGGCUCCGCCGGUGUGGACCUCGUAACUCUCCUUGGUGGUGCCAUCAUGUCCUGAAACGCAAUGCACACACACAUUAGUAUUCGAAACACGUCACUUUUACACGUUCCAAAUAACUACCCAAUUAAGCGAAAGCAACAAGCAUAAUCGUGUCCACUCUCGGUGUCAUGUGGUCGGCCGCCCCACAAAGUCCCUUAAGUAGACAACAAUUAAGCCUUCGAGUCCAUCUCUACUUCCUUCUAGAGAAGCGUUAUCGUUGACCCAAUCACUCGCUUCCGCAUAAACCAAGUCCACAUUAAGCGUUUUCCUAGGUCCUUAUGGUCUCCAUACCUAUGGUUCCUAAGUCAUUUCUAGACUUUUGCUUUCCACUUCUCUCUUAUACCCUUAUAUCUGUCACGCCCCAAUCCCCGCCAAUUUGGUCGGGUUCGGGUCACGUCAACAGACGCCGAACGGACAGAGCCUCCCCUGUCCGUCCAAGGCUCCAACAACAUGUAUAAAUAGGCAAUGAACAAGAGAUUUGCAUAUAUAUAUUACAAGGCUUGCACGAGGGCAAGCAACAACGGAAGCGAAAGCUCUAAGCUAAAUAUACAACAUACAUGAUAUUNCAAAGUCCCUUAAGUAGACAACAAUUAAGCCUUCGAGUCCAUCUCUACUUCCUUCUAGAGAAGCGUUAUCGUUGACCCAAUCACUCGCUUCCGCAUAAACCAAGUCCACAUUAAGCGUUUUCCUAGGUCCUUAUGGUCUCCAUACCUAUGGUUCCUAAGUCAUUUCUAGACUUUUGCUUUCCACUUCUCUCUUAUACCCUUAUAUCUGUCACGCCCCAAUCCCCGCCAAUUUGGUCGGGUUCGGGUCACGUCAACAGACGCCGAACGGACAGAGCCUCCCCUGUCCGUCCAAGGCUCCAACAACAUGUAUAAAUAGGCAAUGAACAAGAGAUUUGCAUAUAUAUAUUACAAGGCUUGCACGAGGGCAAGCAACAACGGAAGCGAAAGCUCUAAGCUAAAUAUACAACAUACAUGAUAUUUGAUUAAAUUUAAAUCAAAUACAAGUGAUUAAAACUAUUACAUUUCCACUCAACCAUCAUUUUUUUUUUACAUUUAGCCAUCCACCAAAAUUACAUGAUUGUUUACAACUUUACAUCUCUAAAUCAACAAAAGAAAUUGAUACAUGUAUACCAAAAGGGAAAUGGCUACAAAAUACAUAAAGUUCCGGUGGCCACUAUCUACGGCACUAUACCCUUGCCUCGGUCCUCCGCCGCCCCGCUCGUGCUAGGACCUGUAGGGUUAGUGGUGUGAGAACUACAACGAAGUUUCCAGUGGGUUCGGCAUCCGACCUCGCCAACUUACCCACUAGGUCUAUCCAAGUAUAAGUAUUUCAAGGAAAGAAAAGUAACCAGUACUAAUGCAUUUAAUACUAUGCCUGCAGAAGAAUGUCAGUGGAUACAAAUACUCAAUGCAAUAACGAAAAAUGCGUGCAUGCUCAAUUCGUAAAUAAGCUUUGGCUCUUACCCAAUCUUACAGGUUAACCUUGUUAACCCCAAAAACUCAUAACCCAGAAUCCCUUUCUUUACCGGGGAGGCUCCAAGCACUACCGACCCGAGGGACCGUCUUCAGGGACCUCGCUCCCUGUGGUGUCGAUUUUCGGAAACACACUGCUUGAAGAGGAGCGACCUCCCUCAAGCCAAGACUUAUUAUGAGUGUCGAUCAAAUCCCCGCGUUGAGGAUAUUAAGCCACUUGUCACGAUGCCACUUUUGUGAUAGAUUUUCUACCGAUGUUCUCAUGCCACUUUCUAGUCGAUCUCGUCACAAUGCCACUAUAGUUAAAUCUAUGUUUAACAUCCAUUUAUCCAAGCCAAUCUAUCUCUCUAAUGUCAUUGUCACCAUUUGCUUACUUGUGCUAAGUCCAAGUCCGACUAUCAUGCAAUUCCUAGGGUUCAAUAACACAUGUCCAUCAUGGUCCCAUUUCUCUCUACUUUCAAAUACAUUUGGAAUAAACAUAAUGAAAACAACCGAAGUUCACAUAUGAAUUAACCCUAAUAUGCAUGACGGAAUGAAUAACCAUAUGUUCAAGAAUAGAGAAAUAGACAUAGAAGGGAAUCCAAUGAUUCCGGCGUGCACCCCCCACCUCUAGUAAUCGUGUGGGUGAGAAUACGAAACUCCUGAACACUACGAACGCCGGCUCCGCGUCCUACAACCCAAAAUGGUGCCAAAUUAGGCCCUUUACAUAUGAACUACUCCCAAACAUUUUCGUAAUGUUAAACGGAGUUGUCCCACGCGUUUAGGACACCCCCAAUUAGGUUUCUACGGGGUCAAUUUGUCCCCGAAAAAUCCUAGGGCAAAGGCCCCAAUUUUCAAGCCCUAAUAUUGUCAUUUAGGGUUUCCCCAUGAAUCGAUCUCAACCCUAAGCAAAUAAUAGCUUAGAUUCAUCUAAGGAACAUCUUAGUAAGGUUUCUAGACCUUUGGAACCAACCUUAAGGCUCCUAACUCAACUUCCAAGGGUUCACCAUGAGAGCACCUUUAGCUCUCAUGGAUACCUUGUUGUUCAUGGCUCAAAAGAGUCUCUAAAACCCCUAAGGAGCACAAAGCUCAAAUCCCUUAGGUUAAAACCCAAACCCUAGAGGAAAACCUCACAAAACUUACCUCUAGUCCAGGCUCUUCUAAGAUUCUUCUUGUUGGAGAGCUCCUGGAACCUCCAAAGCAUCAAAUCCACCUUCUUCUCCAAGUUCUUCUUCUUCUUCUCCAAGCUCUAGGAGAGUUCUAGAGAGAGAAAGUGAGAAAAUGAGAGAGGGGGAGAGGAAUGGCUGUGGGAGAGAGGGGAUGGCCCAUAUAAAGUAUUAUGACAAUUGCAUUUAAGCCCCUCCACUUGUUUCCUCUUGAUCUGCCUAGACUGGGCAUUUUUUGCCUUCGGGGACCGGUCUCCCCGACCAGGGACCAGUUCCCGAACGUGGGUUUUCCAGGACUUAGCCAAAUUUUCGGGUUUUUCAGCUGCUGCGCAGCGAGGGACCGGUUUGCCCUUCAGGGACCGGUCUCCCGAGGACCGGUCUCACCACCAGGGACCGGAUGCCUCAGGAUUUCCUGGCAGGCUACGCGUACGGGGACUGGUCUCUCCUUCAGGGACCGGUCCCCGAGAGCACAAAAUCUGGGACUUAGCCAGAUUUCCAGAUUUACUCUCUCGGGUCCCUUUUAGCUUCACUUAUGGACUCUAAUGCUCUUAGGGUCCACUCUAACUCAUUCAACACCGCGUUCCGCUCGUUUCGACGGAACUCGGCACGAUUUACGAGGGACGUUGUAUGUUACAUGUAGCCUGAUAGAAUCACUAGUACGAUGUAAAGCUUAAACUUAUUAAGUUAUACUAGCUAUUGAUAGUGAAUUAUGUUAACAAGUAGUUGAUAGCAAUUUAUAACUUGGUGCUACAGUGUCGACCUUGGGUCGAGUUGAGAUUCCAUGAUGUCGUUGUGAUAUUGUAUAAUUGAUUACAGCUUGCAUACUAGACAGCCUUCGGGUGGGUCUUCAUAUUAGACAGCCUUUGGGUGGGUCUUCAUAUUAGACAGCCUUCGGGUGGGUCUUCAUACUAGACAGCCUUCGGGUGGGUCUUCAUACUAGACAGCCUUCGGGUGGGUCUUACAAGAUUUAAACUUUAAGUAGUUAACGACAAGUGGACAUUGACUAGAAUAGUGAACAAUGACAUCUUUAUCAUUUACAUUGUGGACAUUGUGUCGGUCGGAUAUUUAUUGAUGAACAAGCUAGAAAGCUGACAUUUUGACUAGUUAGUAACAUAAUGACAGUAUGUCUCAUUAUUGCUAAUGUAGAAGGUAAUUACAUAAUGUUAUCAGUUAUCUGAGCAAUGAUGAAUUAUCUUGCUUACAAUCUGGUAAAUGACUAGUUAAAAUUUUCAACUAAUAUGAAUGAUAGAAUCUAUCAUAAUAAACUAGUACCUGCAACCUGUUGAUAUAUGUUUAUUUCUGAGCAAAUAGCAUGAUUGGUUUAUUUUCAUCCCUGUUACAGUUAUUUACAUAUUUAUUGCUAUUUACUCAUGCCAUAGUUGACCUAGUAGUGUACUUCGCCACUCUCGGCGGCUUACCCACUGGGAACUAUUGUUUAAUAGUUCUCACGCCCUCUUUGUUGUUGUUUUUACAGAGCCUUCCACUACGGGAAAGGCUAAGGUUCCUGGCGAGGAGUCAGCGGCUAGCUAGAGCCUUCUGGACGUUUACUAGACAACCUUUAUCAGUCUAUGUAGUUUAGUUUACUGAUGUAUAUUAAGCUCAUGUACACUGUACUUUGUUCUUAUCUAUUGUAAUAAGGUUUGGAUUGUAUAAGUUAAACUUUUAAGCUUUGCUAUGAUUACCUGAAUAGAAUCGAAUGCUUUUACUAUAUUGAUUGUAGACGCCUGGUGUAUACUUGAGUUAUGGUGUACACGGCGGGUCUGUGCAUGCGACUGGUGAGCUUCCGCUGAAAUCCAGGGCGUGACAAUAUCCGGAUAGGUCGUCGGUGGACGCAUGAAUCAUUGGCAGUGUCUGCUCUGUGACAGGCAACGCUUGAGGUCUGCGGACAAAUAUAGUUGUCACGUCCCGCUAUCGCCAAUUUGGUCGAUCCGGGCCCGUACACAGACGCCAAACGGACAGAACCUCCUCUGUCCGCCCAAGGCUCAACAACAACGAGUAUAUGUAUAAAGAAAUAAACAAUUCCCAGGAUAACAUUUCAAUAUACAUGGCUUGCACGAGGGCAAGCAACAACCACAAGUGAUAGUAAGCUAACUAAACAUGAAAUUCACUGUAAUUUAAAACUUUCAAACUGAACUGUAUAACUUAAACAUUUAGUUAUCUACAUGCUUUAUAAUACAUUCAUUCACAUGUCACUGUACAUCAAAAGGUCUCACAUGAACUCAAAAUGGUAAAGUACUAUACUCUGGUGUCAGCUAGCUACACUGCGGGGCUCUUGCCACGAUCCUUGGCCACACCGCUCGCACUGGAACCUGUAUAGUUAGUGGUGUGAGAACUACAGAAAAGUUCCCAGUGGGUUCGGCCGCCGACCUCGCCGACUCACCCACUAGGUCUACUCAGGCAUAUGUAGGCAAGAAAGGUAAAACAGAUAGUAACCAACUAUAUAUGUAACUACUACAAUGCCUGUACAAAGCUGGAAGAAAGCAAUAUAUGAAAACUGUAAAUAUGCAUGCAUGCUUUUACUGAGUUUACCCAAUUCAUUUUGGUUAACCCUUUGGUUAAUAAUUACUCACUGACGCUAUCCCAAAUAUCGGGGAGACGCACCUGCACCCGAUGGGACCGUCAACUGGGGGAGACGCACCUCCUGGUCCAGUAAAGAUGACUACUCCGGAGCUCAUCGUUCAAGGAGGAGCGACCUCACUUGAACCAAACAAAUGUGAGUAUGAUCUGAUCCUCUUUAGAGGAUUCAACUGACAAACACUGUCACACUUUACUCUAACUAGUUCUUUAUACUAGUUUCACAAUUUCAUUUCUCGAUGCUAACCAAAUCUCUAGUUGAAUGUCACCAAGUUUACUAUUGCUAUAGUCCAUACAUUCAUAGGGUUCUAUGUCCACAUUCUAAGUUCACAUUUUCUCAACAUUGAUAAACAUUCACAUAUUCAACUAUCACUUGCAUAAUAUCACUACCCUAUGAUGCAUGAAUACAAGUAAUAUGCUCAAUGGAAAACCAUAGACAUAAAAGGUGAUUCAAAGACUUCGGAUAGCACCACCCACCUGUAGGGAUGCCAACUAACUGGAAUCCACGUCUCGAACUGUGUCAAUGAUGAUCUCACGCGACCCAACGCAAAUA